ensembl:lncRNA
UAAAUGAAUGCUGUGAUAUUAUUGUUGAAACAGAAACAAUUUCACGUUGUUUCGCUGAUGGGAUAUAACUAAUGUUGUGUGUAAUGUAAUACAUUUAUGAAGACACAACCAUGUCAGAGUGGUUGUAGUGGCUUCAACAUCUUAAGCAACAUUAAUUAAACAUUAAAUAGCCAAAUAAUUUUGCAACAUGUUCAGUUUGUCAGCUCUACUCACUCAACGUAUGUGCAUUCCCGCGACAGGUGGUUGAGACGCAUUUACAACAAAUUAACUUUUUUCAGUAAAUUUUUUCUUUUGUUGUUGCGUUUUUUUCAGAGUAGCAUCAACACGUUCACGCGUGACUCUUUAGUUUGUUUGUCGGUUGCCAACCAUCACCUCCUUUUAUUCAUCAUCCAACGCAAAACAUGACUCGCGGAGCGGCACGUGGUCAGCCGGCCCGCUCCUCCCGCCGCGGCCACGCCUCCGGAUGGUGACUCGGUCGGGAGCAGCGUGGCUGGAGCUGGAAGCAGCAGCAAAGAAGCGUUGACGCUGCGUGCGUUUGGGGGGGAAAAAAAACAAAACAAAAAAAACUGCGCCAGGAAACAGCUCCGUUUGCAGACGGUGGAACCAGCGCGCGCAGCGCACCGGAGUCGGUGGAGAACGGAAGUACUCCUGCUGGUCGUCGCGACGGGAUGUGAAGGUGACGUGUGUGAAAGGGACGCUGCGCACUUGAACGCGCCUUGUCCUUUUGGUGUGCCUGAUGGAGAGGGACAGAGAAGCGGACGCAGCGUUAUUCAUGACGGACAACGUUAACAGUUGGUUGUCUUCGAGUCAACGUGAAUCAGAGUCCGCUUUAAUGGACAUGUAUGCUGACCCAGACUGAUGGGAAGUUGUCUCCGGUUGCUCUCAACGCGCGAAAGCCAAAUUGGACAAUACAACAGACGAGGGACAAGAUGCGGCAGUAGAGGAUCUCAACACAACCAGGAUGCAGAGAAGUAAUCGGAGAAGGCACCAAUAAGUCUGGAAAAAACCCAAACGGGGUCCUGCGAUAUCUCGGUUGUCUCCUUCCAGGCCUGAAUGGACACAUUGUGCUGCUGCCCGCUGCUGUUCUACAGACCACUAGGUCCUCCACACACACCUGUCAAGCCAUGUCCGUGGCGCCUUGGGUGCUGAGACACUCCAGAGCCCCCCUGCUGUACACAUGGUUAUUGAACCCUUGCACACACACACACACUUAAACGUCCUAUAUGAAUAAAUAAACCCAUGUGGUCACGUAAACCUAUGUUUAGACACAGAAAUGCAUUCACAAGGACGCACACAAUUGAAUUUCACAAAUACACAGAGUAUGCAUUCAUGCUUUUUCACAAACAAACACACACACACUCAAAGACUUCUCUUUAUUGGAAACACGCCUCUCUCCCUUCGCCCAUGCCAAGGUUACAUGCGGGGCGGCUUCAGAUUUUAGAAAGGGUCAAGUUCCAUAUUUGUCAGGUGGGGGUUGGGGGCAAGGGUGCAGAAGGAAACAGCAUUCAGGAGUAGACCACCUGUAACCUGAUCUCCUGCUUCAAUCGGUUGCAGGUUUUCUCUUUUUGAGUUGAGUGGGCAGCAGUUGUGGGACACAGUGUUCUUUGCUUCCAUUUGGCAAAUGUGUUUACAUUUCUGCUUAAGUCAUUGAAAUGAUCAGCAAAUGUUUUUUUUAUUAUUUAUAAGCGAUUCAUCGGAGCUGAAACGGCUUUUAAUUGCUUUUCAGUUUAUUAAAUGAUUUGUGGAAAUUGAAUGGCAAUGUUUUUGGGAUUGAUUGAUUGAUUCAUUUAAUAUCUACUUCUUGCUAUUUCUAUGCAUGUAAACGAUUAUUUUUAGAUUCUGAGCAACUUAGUUGG